UUCCGUAGCCCACCUGGGAAGUAAAUUACUGGGCAGUGCUAGAGUUAGUAAACCUACAUACACUCAUAAAAGUUCAAACCGAAGUGUGAUCAUCAAGUACUUACAGUUGAAGAGUCCAGACAUGUUUCAGUGGUUCUAUGCUCCCAGGGCACAACAUCAUCUGCAGUGGCCAGAGUCAGCUGAAAUAGUCUCUCAUAGGCUAGCUUUCGAAUGAGGAGUUUCUCACAGAUGAUCAACCACCCUUCCAGCAAAUCACAGGUGUUCUCCACAUGGUGUGAGCAGGCUCAUCUUUGCAAUCAUGCCUGAUUGAACAUUACCAAUAAAUACAUAAGUGUGGAGCCAGACUGGUACAGAGCAGUACAAGGAUAAGUCAAGAAGGACAGAAGACAAACGUGCCUCAAUAUUGUGCCUGUGAGUAUCCUUUUUGCUGCCUUGGAAAUUCCGUAUUUCCCUGAUGGUUCAAUAUCUUGGUAGAGUUCUUGCUGAAGACCAGCUGCCAGUGUUUCCUGCAAGUCUUUGAAAACAUAUUAUUAACAAAUAUGGUCUGUUCAUUUUUUGGUUGUUUGGUGUUUUGGUUUUUUUUAGACAGAAGAUCUUUGUGUUACUGUGUCUCUGCACCAUCAGAUUG